rnacentral:lncRNA from 1 species
UUAUAUUUUAAAUAACCUCAAAAUUCUCAAGAACUCUCAUAACUUUUACCCAAUUUCCACCAAAAAAUAAAUUCAAAUUGCACUAUUCCCCCCAACUUUGUCCUUUUCCAAUUUUGAAAUUCAAAGAUUGUACUACAUUGUACUAUUUCGCCCCACAUUACCUUCCACCUCACCUUAUCUUUAAUUUUUAUAUUCCAAAAAUCCCCCUAAAUGCUUUUUCUCCCACAUUGGUAGAUGACAAAAAAUAAAUCUCUAUCUUUUCCUAUAAAUAAUUUUCUCCCACAUUGAUGGAAAAAGGAAAAAAAUACCUCAUUCUCUCCUAUAAAUACUACCACUACUUUGGUAGAGAGAGGAGCGGAGAAGGAAGAAAAAAAAAGGCUAGAAAGGUGAAAAAAUCCUUUUGAGCAAAAAUAGUUAUUUUUAUUUAGUAAAAAUUUUU